rnacentral:rRNA from 1 species
AUUGAACGCUGGCGGCAGGCUUAACACAUGCAAGUCGAGCGGAGAUGAGGUGCUUGCACCUUAUCUUAGCGGCGGACGGGUGAGUAAUGCUUAGGAAUCUGCCUAUUAGUGGGGGACGACAUUCCGAAAGGAAUGCUAAUACCGCAUACGUCCUACGGGAGAAAGCAGGGGAUCUUCGGACCUUGCGCUAAUAGAUGAGCCUAAGUCGGAUUAGCUAGUUGGUGGGGUAAAGGCCUACCAAGGCGACGAUCUGUAGCGGGUCUGAGAGGAUGAUCCGCCACACUGGGACUGAGACACGGCCCAGACUCCUAUGGGAGGCAGCAGUGGGGAAUAUUGGACAAUGGGGGGAACCCUGAUCCAGCCAUGCCGCGUGUGUGAAGAAGGCCUUAUGGUUGUAAAGCACUUUAAGCGAGGAGGAGGCUACUGAGACUAAUACUCUUGGAUAGUGGACGUUACUCGCAGAAUAAGCACCGGCUAACUCUGUGCCAGCAGCCGCCGUAAAAC